rnacentral:misc_RNA from 1 species
AUAAAUCUGACUGGCCUCAAGGCCUUUCUCACACUUGUGUAUAGUAAUUGUUUCUUUGGCGGAUGCAAGUCCGUGUUAAACUCUGUAAUAAUUUUUGCCUAUAACCUUUAAUGAAUAAUUAAAAA